rnacentral:rRNA from 1 species
CUGCAAAAUCGGUGCCAUCAGCCGUGGGAAUACGUAUGGUUCGGUCGUGUACCGGAAUGACUGGGCGUAACGGUCUCGUGGGCGGCUGGUCGCGUUGUUCGUGAAAAUUUACCUCUCAACGGUGAACUUGCGGGCGAUACGGGCAGGCUAGAGUACUGCAGUGGAGACUGGAAUUCCUGGUGUAGCGGUUAAAUGCGCAGAUAUCAGGAGGAACACCGGUGGCGAAGGCGGGUCUCUGGGCAGUAACUGACGCUGAGGAGCGAAAGCGUGGGGAGCGAACAGGAUUAGAACCCUGGUAGUC